UGCGGGCGUGUGAGUGUGUGUGUGUGAGUGUGUGUCGCUCCAGUCCACGCUCAUGCACACACCCACACGCCCGCACG
rnacentral:pre_miRNA from 1 species